GAUGAACGCUGGCGGCGUGCCUAAUACAUGCAAGUCGAGCGAACGGACGAGAAGCUUGCUUCUCUGAUGUUAGCGGCGGACGGGUGAGUAACACGUGGAUAACCUACCUAUAAGACUGGGAUAACUUCGGGAAACCGUAGCUAAUACCGGAUAAUAUUUUGAACCGCAUGGUUCAAAAGUGAAAGACGGUCUUGCUGUCACUUAUAGAUGGAUCCGCGCUGCAUUAGCUAGUUGGUAAGGUAACGGCUUACCAAGGCAACGAUGCAUAGCCGACCUGAGAGGCUGAUCGGCCACACUGGAACUGAGGCACGGUCCAGACUCCUAAGGGAGGCAGCAGUAGGGAAUCUUACGCAGUGGGCGAAAGCCUGACGGAGCAACGCCGCGUGAGUGAUGAAGGUCUUCGGAUCGUAAAACUCUGUUAUUAGGGAAGAACAUAUGUGUAAGUAGCUGUGCACAUAUUGACGGUACCUAAUCAGAAAGCCACGGCUAACUACGUG
rnacentral:rRNA from 1 species